rnacentral:rRNA from 1 species
AUUGAACGCUGGCGGCAGGCCUAACACAUGCCAGUCGAGCGGAUGAAGCGAGCUUGCUCCUGGAUUCAUCGGCGGACGGGUGAGUAAUGCCUAGGAAUCUGCCUGGUAGUGGGGGAUAACGUCCGGAAACGGGCGCUAAUACCGCAUACGUCCUGAGGGAGAAAGUGGGGGAUCUUCGGACCUCACGCUAUCAGAUGAGCCUAGGUCGGAUUAGCUAGUUGGUGGGGUAAAGGCCUACCAAGGCGACGAUCCGUAACUGGUCUGAGAGGAUGAUCAGUCACACUGGAACUGAGACACGGUACAGACUCCUACGGGAGGCAGCAGUGGGGAAUAUUGGACAAUGGGCGAAAGGCUGAUCCAGCCAUGCCGCGUGUGUGAAGAAGGUCUUCGGAUUGUAAAGCACUUUAAGUUGGGAGGAAGGGAAGUAAGUUAAUACCUUGCUGUUUUGACGUUACCAACAGAAUAAGCACCGGCUAACUUCGUG